AUUGAACGCUGGCGGCAUGCCUUACACAUGCAAGUCGAACGGUAACGGGCCUUCGGGUGCCGACGAGUGGCGAACGGGUGAGUAAUACAUCGGAACGUGCCCGAUCGUGGGGGAUAACGAGGCGAAAGCUUUGCUAAUCCCGCAUACGAUCUACGGAUGAAAGCCGGGGACCGCAAGGCCUUGCGCGGACGGAGCGGCCGAUGGCAGAUUAGGUAGUUGGUGGGAUAAAAGCUUACCAAGCCGACGAUCUGUAGCUGGUCUGAGAGGAUGAUCAGCCACACUGGGACUGAGACACGGCCCAGACUCCUAAGGGAGGCAGCAGUGGGGAAUUGUGGACAAAGGGCGCAAGCCUGAUCCAGCCAUGCCGCGUGCAGGAUGAAGGCCUUCGGGUUGUAAACUGCUUUUGUACGGAACGAAAAGCCUUCUUUUAAUACAGGAGGGUCAUGACGGUACCGUAAGAAUAAGCACCGGCUAACUACGUG
rnacentral:rRNA from 1 species